UCAAUGUAACUGAGAUUUAAAGUAAACAAGGAAAUCAGAAAGUGAGGGACAUCCGGCAGAAUUUCCAGCGGCGCCGGAACUAUCCGGUAAAUGAACCGUCAUCGAUCCAGACUAUUCUGCAACAGGCAGCACUGUU